rnacentral:rRNA from 1 species
AAUCAACGCUGGCGGCGCGCUUAACACAUGCAAGUCGCACGAGAAAGGGGAGCAAUCCCUGAGUAAAGUGGCGUACGGGUGAGUAACACGUGGAUCAUCUACCUUCUAGUGGGGAAUACCUCUGGGAAACCGGAGACAAUACCGCAUAAGCUCGUGAGAGGAAAGCAGCAAUGCGCUGGAAGAGGAGUCCGCGGCUGAUUAGCUUGAUGGCGGGGUAACGGCCCACCAUGGCGAAGAUCGGUAGCCGGCCUGAGAGGGCACACGGCCACA